CAUCUCUAUGCCCAAGAAUUCAACCUUGGAAAGAGAAUUUUUUUGCUGAACCAUUACACAGCUGGUGUGAUACUCUUUGGAGAAGGACAAGGAGUAAGACAGCACAGCUUGCACAGGACAGACUUCAGCAACUAUGAAGCGAUACUUGCUUUUGUAAAUGUUGGCGGAGUACAUUGGAAGUUACUGUAUGUAUGUCCUGCCAUAAAUGCAGUAUAUCUGUUGGACCCUGUGGCUAAUAAGUCAGAGCAAGCUGAUUCUGCACAUGCUGCAAAAAGAAUCCGUGAUUACCUGAGAAGGAUCGUCCAUGGCAUGAACGACUGGGGGAGAAUCAGAUGGAAAGGAAU